UCUGGGUAAAAAUAUUCCUGAUAGCUGUGCAGGCCAGCACAAGAACCAGUACGCUGCACUUAACAAGGUGUUUAUGUUCGUGUGCUUGAUGGUCAAUGGAAUGAGUUCAACUGAAAGCACCGGUUCCGCAGGUCUUCAACAACCUCAGCAAGGUGGUCGGCCCAGCAACAGUGGUGACGGUACUUGGCAUAGAAGUCAACAGCGAGGACCAGAUGAUGCGGCUACCUGACAAGAAGUUAUUUGCCUUUCUAGCGGCUUUGAGUGAGUAGUCCACGCGCACUAGCUACACAACGCGGGAACUGCUGUCGCUGAUCGGAACCUUGUCCUUGCCGCAAAGGUGGUUCCUCCUGGCAGGACCUUCAUCCGUCAACUCCUGUAUCUUAGCUGGACAACUCUCACAGUCUCUUCAGUCAGUAGUCAACAUCAACACAAAAGCUCACUUGGACAUCGAAUGGUCGCGCUCCUUUGCCGCAAACUGGAAUGGCCAAUCCUUCUUCUACGAUGUCGAGUUUUCAAAGUCCCCUGACCUUGAGCUAUUCACGGAUGCCUCUGAUGUUGGCUUCUGCGGUUUCUAUCAAGGACAAUCGUUUUUGGGGCAACGGGCCGCUGAGAUGCGGCAUGAACCUAUUGUGAUUACUCGCUUCCGAGAACUGGCUUCCACAGCCAACCAGUGCCUGGUGCCAACUCCUCCGCUGAACUCGCCGCUCUGAUUGCUGCCAGCAAUGAUCUCAUGAGCGACUCAGACCUUUAAGCCCGGUAUUUGCGCACACAUAAUCUGAUGUACCCAGUUUCGGCUAUGGCCGAGUUCCGGUCCCUGACCGCUACUGCCGGCAGCUCACGGCCAGUGUUUGUGUUCGUCGACGGCGGCUACUUCUCCCGAGUUUUCUCGACUAGGAUCCUCAACUGCAACCGGGUGAGCUCCCAUUCUGUGCGCAUUGGCGGGGCCACACUCAUACCUCACCGGAGUACAAGUGUCUGUGAAGCAGCCAUAUGCCGUGCAGCCGGUAUACCCAAUGGCUAGCAGCAAAGACUGGAACAGCCCAUGCCCAUGUGGUGUUGAGAACAGAAGUGAGGUACAUUUGUAGUGUUGUACAGUGUUGUGCCUUCCGCUUGUUGUGCAGUCCUUGUGCCGGUGUGGCUCUGUGGGUAUCACUUAGGGGUUUGCCAUGGUUACUUGCAGGAAGUUAUGCUAAUGAGCGAUGCCGUGAGAAAUGCUUGGUCGUAAACACUGGUUUUUGGGAGGGUCAAAUGCAUUUGCCUCUCGGUGUUGUGCUGUACUGUCUCAGUGUUGUGACACCUGUAUGUUGUUGUGUGGUUGACCCGCCGGUUUGAGGCAUGGGUGGUCAACUGUGUAUGUUGUAUCGGUGUGUUCCCGUUUGAAGUUGCCGGGCCACCAUGUGGUUGACCCGCCGAAAAUGGAGGCAUGGGUGGUCAACUGUGUCUAUUGUAUCGGUGUGUUCCCGUUUGAAGUUGCCGGGCCACCAUGUGGUUGACCCGCCGAUAAUGGAGGCAUGGGUGGUCAACUGUGUCUAUUGUAUCGGUGUGUUCCCGUUUGAAGUUGCCGGGCCACCAUGUGGUUGACCCGCCGAUAAUGGAGGCAUGGAUGGUCAACUGUGUAUGUUGUAUCGGUGUGUUCCCGUUUGAAGUUGCCGGGCCACCAUGUGGUUGACCCGCCGAAAAUGGAGGCAUGGGUGGUCAACCGUGUAUGUGUAUCAUUGAAGUUGCAAUACGUACAUUGCUGUGACUUGCCCGAUUGCUGUUGCCGGGCACCUACGCAUUUAUUUGCCUACUUGUGAAGAGAUAUCUCUUCUGGUUUAUUGCAUAAUUCUUGGCUCAAUGUUAUCCACGGUGUCGCUCGAUGCAAAGUCUCGUAAAUAUUUAUCAGACAAAAUUGAAAAAAAAAAAAAAACUAUGGCAAACCCCACUUCCUUGUAUUCUAUCUGCUUGGUGUACACGUGUCCACGUUUUGUACGUUUGGCACGCACAUGCGUGCGUGUGUAUGUGAGAGCGUGUCUGGAUAAAUGUGCAUAUUGAUGUUUUGGUUGUUUUAAGUAUAUUGUGUGUAUGCGUGCAUGCAUGUGGGUUAAAUGACGGCUUUGAGCAGCAAAGCCAAGUUAGCCCACGCAUGCACGUGUUUUGUCACGGUUCGUCACGCGGCACAUGAAUAAAAAAUAUUUUUUUUCCGAAAACGGUGGAUGAAAAAAUAAAUCUUGCGUGGCCGCUUUGCCCUGCCUCGUGUCAGCAAAGCAACUUCCUUGUCAACAAUUUCUGUCAUCCAGUUAGCCAAAGUGACUCAAGGUUGUGUUUUCUCCCCUCCCUCCCUCCCUUUAGACAUGACACGUCGGUAUCUUGUGCCACAUGACGAGGCCCCAAGGAGGGUCAAAUGCAUUUGCCCCUCUGUGUUGUGCUGUACUGUCUCAGUGUUGUGACACCUGUAUGUUGUUGUGUGGUUGACCCGCCGGUUUGAGGCAUGGGUGGUCAACUGUGUAUGUUGUAUCGGUGUGUUCCCGUUUGAAGUUGCCGGGCCACCAUGUGGUUGACCCGCCGAAAAUGGAGGCAUGGGUGGUCAACUGUGUCUAUUGUAUCGGUGUGUUCCCGUUUGAAGUUGCCGGGCCACCAUGUGGUUGACCCGCCGAUAAUGGAGGCAUGGGUGGUCAACUGUGUCUAUUGUAUCGGUGUGUUCCCGUUUGAAGUUGCCGGGCCACCAUGUGGUUGACCCGCCGAUAAUGGAGGCAUGGAUGGUCAACUGUGUAUGUUGUAUCGGUGUGUUCCCGUUUGAAGUUGCCGGGCCACCAUGUGGUUGACCCGCCGAAAAUGGAGGCAUGGGUGGUCAACCGUGUAUGUGUAUCAUUGAAGUUGCAAUACGUACAUUGCUGUGACUUGCCCGAUUGCUGUUGCCGGGCACCUACGCAUUUAUUUGCCUACUUGUGAAGAGAUAUCUCUUCUGGUUUAUUGCAUAAUUCUUGGCUCAAUGUUAUCCACGGUGUCGCUCGAUGCAAAGUCUCGUAAAUAUUUAUCAGACAAAAUUGAAAAAAAAAAAAAAACUAUGGCAAACCCCA